UUGAAACACUGGUUCCCAUACGAUCAUUGAAGUUAAGCAACUUCGAGCCUAGUCAGUACCAAGAUGGGUGACUGCUUGGGAAUCCCAGGUGCUAUA